GCGCACGGCCGUGUCCGCGCUGUCGCGAAACCCUUGCAGGAGCAACCUUUUCCCCCAGAAAACAUGUCCUAUGUAAUCCCUCUCCCCUCCUCUCGCGACCCCCUUCAAAAUCCCUCGCAAAAACCUCCCACGUCCGCCACCAUCUUCGUUCCGAUCUCGCCUCAGCCACUGCAGUUCACCGUCGUUUUCUUCACCGCUUCGUCAACAAACUCGUCCGCCUCGCCGGAGCACGGGGAGAUCACCAGAGGUUCUCGAGCUUGUUGCGGUCGCGGUAGCCGCCACCAACACUCUCCAACACCACCCCGACGACGCCCUCGCUCCACCGCAUCUCACCGAGCCCUCCGCCGACGCCCGCGACCCCCGGAAUCGCCGCCCCGCUCGACGCCUACCGCUACUCCAUCGCAUAUGUAUGUCGUCAACAUCGCUAAUUCGUGGAGUGCGAGGCUUGUUACUACGAGUCACUAGCUUUGGAAGAUUGUCGGCAAGGCAAGUCUUUAUCAUGAAUUUAUUUACCGAUAUGUUUUAUUUCAUUAAUAGAAUUUCCUCCCACCAUGCAUGCAGUAGGAGAAAUUUAAUCAAGUCUUGAGUAGUAUGAUGUGGUAGGUUGACCCAAAUCCCUAUCUUACCCUUGCCCGGGAUGUUGUAGUUUAUUUUGCUAUGCUCUGUAGCGACCCGACCUCAAACGGUCAAGUCUCUGUGCUUCAGUGUCAUCCCUGGAUCGGUAAUGCUGAC